AACAGUUGCCUAGUGCCACAACUGGAGCCCAUCACUGGGGCCGGGCUGACAGCCAGCCUGCCAGAUGUGAGGCCUUCUCCACGCUGUCUGUAAUCCAAGCAGAAACACAAACUUCAGACUGUGCUGUAGAACAUGAGAGACAGUUUCAGAAGUGGUAUGCAGACCUCCCUGUUUUCCAUCCAAACCCAGGAGUGACCUUGUUGUGGCCACAGAUUCCCCUCCGUGUAAAGCAGCCUCCUUCAGGACCCUGCUAUUAGCGGCUUUGUGGGGCAGAGUGGCGACAUCUUAAUGGCACACAGACAAGAGGAGGCUACAGACCCCUGCACCCUCCAGCACUGAGAGCACAGCUGACUGCAGGGAAUGUGGACACUUUGAGAUGUAUGCUGACAGCAGCCACCAGGGGCUGGUUGGAAUUUGUGUUCACGCGAAGAAAAACGAAGUACUGUUUUUAUGCUGUUUUUACAAGGAACGCUUGGCAGCUUUAUACAUACACUAAGGAACUCGUACAUGCUAAUUAUGAGCAGGGAACUAGAACUAGAAACUAAGAAAAGGGGCCUUUGUGCUGAAAUAUGUUUUUAUUUAUGUACCAGUUUGUAGGCUAAGGUCAGGAAACUGCCAGACUGACAUACAGCACUCAGCACGUGUCGUAACUUUGAAAUUCUGAGAAAUCUGUUUAUUUUGGGGGCAAAAGGUGUCCUUUUAGGUGACCUUGAAACUAUUAUUAUAACUGUACAGUAAUAGAGUUAAAAUGGAAAUGUGUGCCAACAGCCUUUUUUGCAAAUUUGCAUGAGUGAAACAAAACGGAGGAUUAAUUAAUCUCCUAAUCUUAGUCAAUCAAAAUACUACAGAUUGGGUAUGCGUGUAAAAGAACUCUAUACUCUGCUCAAAGCGCCUUAUACAGCAUGACUUAUAUAGAAAGUAUUUGAAUGUGUAAAUAACAUUUGCACUCCGAUAGAAUCAACAGAGACCGACUUAAGGUUAGUGCCUUGCCCAAGAACGUUUUGCAUGCAAACUGCAGCAGCCAGGGAUCGAUCCAUGAACCUUCCGAUUAGAAGACUACCUCCUGCUACAACAAACCGCAGCCAAUGCACACGUAGGUCCAGACUCCCGUCCAUAUCAGCCAACAGCAGGUAGAAGAAGUGAGCUUCCAGAAGAAGUGAAAUCCAGUGGAAGCGUUAUCACUGCUGACCGUCCUGUGCCCUGUAUCUAUGUGAAAUAUUGAGCGGAAAAAAAAAAAGACUUCCCAAUGCCUCCAUGUAUUGCAACAAUUAAGAUCGCUUACUGGGCCAAUGAGACUGCAAUGAUCUGGACUCUACAUACAAGUAAAAAUAAGCAGGGCUGACUGAAGAUCACCUCGAGUUGGACAUUCACCGAUGAUCUGAACAUUGUCAAACACGCUCAGAAUGACUGAAGUUGUUUUAGAUCAUUAGUUGCCCUAUUUGCCGAUUCAUAAAUGGACUGGUACUUAUAUCACUUCUCUGCUCUACUGGAGCACUCUAUGCAACAUGCCGCUUUCACCCUUUGUACAAGCCCUUUCUUCUAACAUUUAAACAUAUAAAACUGGAAGGCACAUGAGGUUUAGUAUGUUACCCAAGGACUGCAGUCAGGGAUUAAUCCGCCAACCUCCCAACUAGCAGAUGACCUAUGCUACCUCCUGAGCUAUAGCUAAUGCCACCCACACACAGCUACACCACAGUGAGAUGGGAUUUCUUGACAUCUGCUCUAUUUGUCAAUAUUAGGCCUGAACUAUGGAAACUAAGAGAUGCUCUCCUGUGGGCUCAUUCUAGUUUUUGUGAAUAUUACCCAAAUAAGGAUGAAUGGUGCAUUUUCUGGGAACUACUUUAGGCCUUGGAUUUAUAUUGAUUUGGUCUGAGGGUGAGCAUUUACUGCAGCAGUAUAGCGAUUGUGGACUCUAGUAAUGAAGGAACAUGUCAGUCAGUGCUACAUGUUGCUUGUUGAUGUAUCCUUUCUUAGUUUAUGCACCACAGUAAAGCUGUAUGGCUCCAAGAAAUUAUCUAUCAGAUCAUGUUUCUAUAUAUUUGCUUACAAUGAAGUAAAACAUAGAGUUUUGUCUGCCAUUUCAUUGAAAGCAGUCUGAAAAUCUUUAUACUCUUCAGUGAGUUAAGCAUUGUCAGGCUCUCAUAAACUGCUUUAGCAGAAAUGGUAAUAAUGUCUGUGGCAUUCAGGGUCAUUCUGCUAAAACUGUAACAAGUAAAACAGACUUGAGCUACUUGGAAAACCUUCCAGAGGCCCUGAGAAGUAGUGUCGUUGAGCUAAUAAGUCACCAUUUCCGAUAUUUUAAGUGCUCUGCCAUGCCCAACUUCACCAGGCUCUAACUUGGCCCG